GGAGGGUUAGUCUAAUUGGUAAGGCACCGGUCUUGAAAACCGGCGGGUUAAUCCCCAUGAGGGUUCGAGCCCCUCACCCUCCGCCA
rnacentral:tRNA from 1 species